rnacentral:rRNA from 1 species
AUGCCUCUCCCAAAUCAACCGCCGCCGCCGCCGACGGCGGCGACCGAGCGCAUCUAUAAGCCCUCAAGCUGGGAUCCGCGGCUCGAGGUUCAACGUCGGGAGAGAUCGGAGCUUCUCAAGAAGAUCGUCGACUCGUAUGAUCAUGUCCAGAAGCGACUCGACAUGGCCACGGCAUUCAAAGAGGAGAUCUUCGUCGGCGCCGGCCUCUCCUUUGGCCUUCUCGACCCGGCCAGCAACAUCAUCUACAACACCCUCAGCGCCUCCGACCUCUGCGCCGACGAAACCCAGGGUGUUCUUGAGCGCCGGGACAUGGCCGAGCGCUCCCUGACCGGCCUCGUCGCCUUCCUCGUCUCCUUCUUCCGCUACCUCGCGGACUGGGAGGCCGUGCGCUACCUGCUCCGCGCCGACACCGACCUCGUCUACGCGAUGCGCCUCAUCGUGCAUGACCGGUGUCUCUCUUUCUUCAAUAUCAACUCUGAUACCAGCAGGUCCGUUGUCCGCACUGCCCUAAUGUGCGCGGCGCGGGCCUCCAAGCACAUGGAUCCCCACCACCUCGUCCGCACCUGGCUGUCGCCGAUUCGCCCUCUGGAAGAAGCUGUGCACGCGAUCCAGAAUGACAUCAAUAAUUUCACCUCUGUAUUCGACCCACGGCACCAUGCUCGCAAGCGUCCUCGCAUGUCAAUGCAACCCCUUGAUUUUGCUUGGAAGCGCGCAUUCGAGCUCCCCCAGUUGCCAUCCUCCGUCGUGCCUUAUCGACCUUACCAGUCCAUGAAGUUUGUGCUCCUCCAGCGCAUCCACGCCUUCUACCUGAAGGCACUUGCCCUGCUUCCGGUGAGUGAGCUCCGGUCUUGCUACCACCACAGCAUGCUCAAGGCUGGCCACUGCUAUGGCCCCUUCGAUCCUGUCGCCAACAUCAUUAUCAACACAAUCUGGUAUAACUCCGUCUCCCCACCGACCAAAAAACUCAAGCUUGACAUGAUCAGUACCAAUAGUCUGUUACGCAUCGAGGCUCGCUCCUUCUAUGGCCUUGUUUCUUUCCUCUGCGCUUCCGGCAAGAAACUCUAUGAAGCCAUGCGCUUCUUGCUUAUUUCUGAUUGCACUCUGGGCGAUAUGAACUUUUCGAACCCUUUGGUUGACUUCGGCGAUCAAAACAAAAUUUGUAAUAGCUUCAGGGUUGCCGGUGUGGCUGCUUGGCACCCUGACCCUGUCGCGCAAGCAGAGUUUAUUUCCUCAUGCAAGUAUCCAUUCUCAAGUCCGAGGAUUAAUGCUCCACUCGACUCUGCUGAUCUUGACCACAUUACCAGAAAGAUGUUUCAAGGACUCCCCGCCCCUGGCAGUUCGCUGCGGCGUCAAUCUGUUGCCAUGCCCAAGCUCUGCCGUCGUGUUCAAUAUAAAAUUGACCAAUGGAUGCACGAGUAUACAAGAAUCUCAAAGAAAGUCAAAGCAGCGCUUGCCUCAUACAGAGAACCCUUGUAUCUUCAUGUUAUUUGUGGCGUCAACCAUAAUGUGUCUGGCCCUGAGUACUGUAUGGAUGGUCACAAACCCGUUUACAUAUACCAACAUACCCAUGUUAAUUUUCUGGCAAGUCGAAGAGAUGGAAAUCCAGAACUCUUCUUUGCUGAACUUAGCAACGACGAGGCAGAGGAUGGAGGCGGGAAGGUUUUGUGUUGUCCUGUGAGCUUUCCACAGGCACGACAAGAAGAAAUCCGCUGUCUGUACUGUGAUUAUGAAGGUACUAAAAUUGUGCACCCGGCUAUGGAGGAAUUCCCAUUCAAAGGGCGCGACUCGGAGUUUCAGAAGAUGGUGUGUGGAAUAGAUCCCUACGAAGAUGAACCCUGUCCAGGCGUUUUGCAGUUCUACUCCAACUGCACUAUCAUCAGGACCUCGUCCACGGCAUUAGAUUGUGUGGGGCAUUUGGGAGUAGAUGACUGGAUCUAUACCGACUUUGAUGACCGCAGUGACGAGGAAGAUGACAGUGAUGAUUAUAGUUGUGAAUCUGAGUGA